rnacentral:ribozyme from 1 species
AAGCGCAACUGGGAUGAUUGCUGCUGGUGCCCCCAC